rnacentral:tRNA from 1 species
GCGGCUGUAGCUCAAUGGCAGAGCGCCUGCCUUCCAAGCAGAGGACCUGGGUUCGAUUCCCAGUAGCCGCU